rnacentral:rRNA from 1 species
GACGAACGCUGGCGGCGUGCUUAACACAUGCAAGUCGAACGGCAAGGCCCUGCUAUUGUGGGGUUCCCGAGUGGCGAACGGGCGAGUAACACGAGAGUAACCUGCUCUUCACUUUGGGGUAACUUCAGGUAACUGGGGCUAAUACCUUAUAGGAUCUCCUCCUGCAUGGUAGGCGUUGGAAAGUUUCGGCGGUUGGGGAUGGACUCGCGGCUUAUCAGCUAGUUGGUGGGGUAGUGGCUUACCAAGGCUUUGACGGGUAGCCGGCCUGAGAGGGUGACCGGCCACAUUGGGACUGAGAUACGGCCCAGACUCCUACGGGAGACAGCAGUGGGGAAUAUUGCACAAUGGGCGGAAGCCUGAUGCAGCAACGCCGCGUGCGGGAUGACGGCCUUCGGGUUGUAAACCGCUUUCGCCUGUGACGAAGCGUGAGUGACGGUAAUGGGUAAAGAAGCACCGGCUAACUACGUG